rnacentral:rRNA from 1 species
UUCGGCUUAGAGUUUGAUCCUGGCUCAGAUUGAACGCUGGCGGCAUGCUUUACACAUGCAAGUCGAACGGCAGCGCGGGGCAACCUGGCGGCGAGUGGCGAACGGGUGAGUAAUAUAUCGGAACGUACCCAAGAGUGGGGGAUAACGUAGCGAAAGUUACGCUAAUACCGCAUACGAUCUAAGGAUGAAAGCAGGGGAUCUUCGGACCUUGUGCUCCUGGAGCGGCCGAUAUCUGAUUAGCUAGUUGGUGAGGUAAAGGCUCACCAAGGCGACGAUCAGUAGCUGGUCUGAGAGGACGACCAGCCACACUGGAACUGAGACACGGUCCAGACUCCUACGGGAGGCAGCAGUGGGGAAUUUUGGACAAUGGGCGAAAGCCUGAUCCAGCAAUGCCGCGUGAGUGAAGAAGGCCUUCGGGUUGUAAAGCUCUUUUGUCAGGGAAGAAACGGGAGUGGCUAAUA